UACGGGAGCAGCAGUGGGGAAUAUUGCACAAUGGGCGCAAGCCUGAUGCAGCCAUGCCGCGUGUGUGAAGAAGGCCUUCGGGUUGUAAAGCACUUUCAGUAGGGAGGAAGGUAGUGUAGUUAACACCUGCACUAUUUGACGUUACCUACAGAAGAAGCACCGGCUAACUCCGUGCCAGCAGCCGCGGUAAUACGGAGGGUGCGAGCGUUAAUCGGAAUUACUGGGCGUAAAGCGCAUGCAGGUGGUUUGUUAAGUCAGAUGUGAAAGCCCGGGGCUCAACCUCGGAACUGCAUUUGAAACUGGCAGACUAGAGUACUGUAGAGGGGGUAGAAUUUCAGGUGUAGCGGUGAAAUGCGUAGAGAUCUGAAGGAAUACCGGUGGCGAAGGCGGCCCCCUGGACAGAUACUGACACUCAGAUGCGAAAGCGUGGGGAGCAAACAGGAUUAGAUACCCUGGUAG
rnacentral:rRNA from 1 species